UACAGAGGGUGCAAGCGUUGUUCGGAAUUAUUGGGCGUAAAGCGCGCGUAGGCGGUGACUCAAGUCGGAUGUGAAAGCCCUUGGCUUAACCGAGGAAGUGCAUCCGAAACUGAGUCGCUAGAGUACGAUAGAGGGUCGCGGAAUUCCCGGUGUAGAGGUGAAAUUCGUAGAUAGUCGGGAGAACACCGGUGGCGAAGGCGGCGACCUGGGUCGAUACUGACGCUGAGGCGCGAAAGCGUGGGGAGCAAACAGG
rnacentral:rRNA from 1 species